rnacentral:misc_RNA from 1 species
UUUCCGUAGGUGAACCUGCGGAAGGAUCAUUAACACUUGGGUUUAUCCCGAAUCUCAACAACCUGUGAACAUGAACAACAUUUUUUCUAACCACACACAACCUAUGAACUAAAGUAGAGUCCUAACAAAAUACAACUUUUAGCAAUGGAUAUCUUGGUUCCC